rnacentral:rRNA from 1 species
UACGUAGGGGGCAAGCGUUGUCCGGAAUCAUUGGGCGUAAAGAGCACGCAGGCGGUUUUGUAAGCCAGAUGUGAAAUCCCCGGGCUCAACCUGGGAAUGGCAUUUGGGACUGCAAGGCUGGAGUUUGGCAGAGGAGACUGGAAUUCCUGGUGUAGCAGUGAAAUGCGUAGAUAUCAGGAGGAAUACCGAUGGCGAAGGCAGGUCUCUGGGCUAUAACUGACGCUCAUGCACGAAAGCGUGGGGAGCAAACAGG